UGUCCAGUAGCACCUUAGAGACCAACUCUGAAGUGUGCAUGCACACAAAAGCUUAUACCCAGAACAAACUUAGUUGGUCUCUAAGGUGCUACUGGACA